AUAGUUGGUCGUUAAAAAAAUACAAAUCCCGUCGUUUAAUAAAUUAAUUGGCGGUACCUUUUCCCUCUUUUCCCCUAACCCCACUACCUCCUCUAAAAAAGAAACCAUUACCCUUCUUUCAAAAAAUACUUCUUCCCUAGAAACUACUGUCUGCUCUCAUCCAGAGCUUGCAAUUGCUGUCAAGAGUAAAUUUCUGGGAGAAGAAAUAACUAAUCGUCACCCACGUCGGCAUCAAUUUCUCAUCUUAGAUUUCCUCAUCAAGGACCUGCGUGCCCAUUUUGGGUAAAGCAAUUAAUGCUUUACCCUCUCUCCAUCGAUACACCGCCCAAACAAGCUGAGUUCGGGGGGAAGCAUAAGACUUCAAUUUCAUUCUCAACAAAGGCUGCACCAAAAAGAGGUACAAGGAGACAGACAGGUGGUCCAGCUCAGUAGGACCUCUAGAUCUAGCAGUGGUCAGUACGCUCCAUUCAAUCCGGAGCUAUAGUUAGUUUUGGUAUGCCCCUUUUGAGACGUGUAUGCAUAUGGGUAUGACGGGGCCCUGUCCCAUCCUUCCUACAGCUUUUCUUCCAGUAGAGUUCUGUAGACAGUUGUAUGUAGUAGUCACAUGAUGUAGCCUUGUGGGCUUCUAUUCUUUUGUGUACAGUAUAUGUAGCAGCCUAGCCGGCUCGCACUGUUCUUCCGCAUGUUGUGUAUAUAUAUAUAUAUAUAUAUAUAUAUAUAUAUACGCAGAUUGUACAGAGCUCUGAUGUUCCCUCUUAUGAAAUCAAUUUAUGCCAUAUAUGGGAUUUUGA